rnacentral:tRNA from 1 species
GAGGGGAGGUACUACCAAUAAGAACUGCUAACUCUUACAUCUGGGCCUGAAAUCCCAGUCCCCUUA